AGAGUUUGAUCAUGGCUCAGGAUGAACGCUAGCUACAGGCUUAACACAUGCAAGUCGAGGGGAAACGACAUCGAAAGCUUGCUUUUGAUGGGCGUCGACCGGCGCACGGGUGAGUAACACGUGUGCAACCAACCCCGUACCGGGAGAUAACCCGCGGAAACGUGGACUAACACCCCAUAACACCUUUCCCCGCAUGAGGGCGAGGUUAAAACCCCGGUGGUACGGGACGGGCACGCGCGACAUUAGGUAGUUGGCGGGGUAACGGCCCACCAAGCCGACGAUGUCUAGGGGUUCUGAGAGGAAGGUCCCCACACUGGAACUGAGACACGGUCCAGACUCCUACGGGAGGCA
rnacentral:rRNA from 1 species